rnacentral:tRNA from 1 species
UGAGGAGUAGCUCAAUUGGUAGAGCACUCGACCGAUAAUCGAGAGGUUGUAGGUUCAAGCCCUGUCUCCUCAA